rnacentral:rRNA from 1 species
CCUACGGGAGGCAGCAGUGGGGAAUAUUGGGCAAUGGGCGCAAGCCUGACCCAGCAACGCCGCGUGAAGGAAGAAGGCUUUCUGGUUGUAAACUUCUUUUUACAGGGAAGAGUAGCAGACUGUACCUGUCGACUCAUCCGCGGCUAACUACUUGCCAGCAGCCGCGGUAAUACGUAGGUGGCAGGCGUUGUCCGGAUUUACUGGGUGUAACGGGCGUGUAGCCGGGUUGACAAGUCAGAUGUGAAAUCCUGCGGCUUAACCGCAGAACUGCAUUUGAAACUGUUGAUCUUGAGUACUGGAGAGGCAGACGGAAUUCCUAGUGUAGCGGUGAAAUGCGUAGAUAUUAGGAGGAACACCAGUGGCGAAGGCGGUCUGCUGGACAGCAACUGACGGUGAGGCGCGAAAGCGUGGGGAGCAAACAGGAUUAGAUACCCCUGUAGUC